rnacentral:rRNA from 1 species
CAGUAGCCGCGGGAAAACAGAGGGUGCGAGCGUUAAUCGGAUUUACUGGGCGUAAAGCGUGCGUAGGCGGCUUCUUAAGUCGGAUGUGAAAUCCCUGAGCUUAACUUAGGAAUUGCAUUCGAUACUGGGAAGCUAGAGUAUGGGAGAGGAUGGUAGAAUUCCAGGUGUAGCGGUGAAAUGCGUAGAGAUCUGGAGGAAUACCGAUGGCGAAGGCAGCCAUCUGGCCUAAUACUGACGCUGAGGUACGAAAGCAUGGGGAGCAAACAGGAUUAGAGACCCCUGUAGUCCCUGUCUCUUAUAC